UCCCUCUCUAUGCGUUGAUUUGAAGGCAACAAGUUAGCCUCUAUCUAAUUUUUCCUGAAUCCAAUUAAGCCACACAUCCUCCUCUUGUUCCUAUAUGCACGGCUGAAGAUCACCCAAGCAAAAGGAUUGCCCUACUUUAGUUUAGAAUCAGAUUAUCCUCUCAUGUUUUUCCUCACUGCCGCAAUCCACAAGUAAUAUAGCUCAAAGAAAGAAUUUCAUUGCAUUCCCUUUUCUCACAUACACAAACCGUGAACUACCUUGAAGGCAAAUGAUCAUCCAAAUUUCUAUUCUUUUUCCACUGCAUGUUUCGGCUGAGUGGAGCAAUCAACAAGGAGAUUUGGAAUAUAAGCUCACACACUUCUCUCCCUCUCCUUUCGGCUGAAAAACUCCCAAGCAAGGAGGUAGGCGUUUGUCUCUUUGUGGUUGUUUCCUACUAGAUCGGUCCUAAUCCAGUUUUGUUGUUUUUUUUCCACUGCAUGCUCAAGACUCAGCCAUGAUUGAGUCAUUAUUUCUCCUUGCAUGCAAAAACAAGAGUGUGAGAGUGAGAACAGAACCUUUGGUGGAUGUCCCAUUCAACGAUGGUGAAACAAAUGGGCACUUGAAGUGGGCACAAAUCGUGAAUUGCUCCUCCAACCCCCAUUCAAUGUGCGGCUGUGAAGGUUCAUAAACCUUAAGGAUGCCGGAUGGACUUGGGGGCUGUUUUGAUUAAAAAUGUUAAAGACUCGAGGAAAAGAUGAAAGAAAGUAAUAAGAAAGUUAUGUGGGAAAGAAAGGGUAAGAGACUGGUACGUAAAGAAGAAGAAACUCCACCUACCUGGGAAGAGAAACUAAAGGAUCUAACAGAUAGAGGCCUAUGGACUGAGGCUAUGAAAUUAUUAAUAGAAGCUUUUCCACAUUAUGAUUUCGAUGAAGCACUAAGUACACAAUGGCUAGAGGAACCACAACCACAUUAUGACUGGGCUUAUGAUGCGGCAUAAAUUAUGUUUUUAUUUAUGAUUAGUUAAUCUUUUUGGGAUUACAUUAAAUAAUGUUUAGUGUUAUUUAUUUUGUAUUGACGUUUUAACGCUUUUAAU